AUGAGCUCGCGUCUGAUUAGCUAGUUGGUGGGGUAAGGGCCCACCAAGGCGACGAUCAGUACCUGGUCUGAGAGGAUGAUCAGCCACACUGGGACUGAGACACGGCCCAGACUCCUACGGGAGGCAGCAGUGGGGAAUUUUCCGCAAUGGGCGAAAGCCUGACGGAGCAAUACCGCGUGAGGGAGGAAGGCUCUUGGGUUGUAAACCUCUUUUCUCAGGGAAGAAAAUUUGACGGUACCUGAGGAAUCAGCAUCGGCUAACUCCGCGCCAGCAGCCGCGGUAAUACGGAGGAUGCAAGCUUUAUCCGGAAUUAUUGGGCGUA
rnacentral:rRNA from 1 species